UGCAGUCGAGCGAACUGAUUAGAAGCUUGCUUCUAUGACGUUAGCGGCGGACGGGUGAGUAACACGUGGGCAACCUGCCUGUAAGACUGGGAUAACUCCGGGAAACCGGAGCUAAUACCGGAUAACAUUUUCUCUUGCAUAAAAGAAAAUUGAAAGAUGGUUUCGGCUAUCACUUACAGAUGGGCCCGCGGUGCAUUAGCUAGUUGGUGAGGUAACGGCUCACCAAGGCAACGAUGCAUAGCCGACCUGAGAGGGUGAUCGGCCACACUGGGACUGAGACACGGCCCACACUCCUACGGGAGGCAGCAGUAGGGAAUCUUCCGCAAUGGACGAAAGUCUGACGGAGCAACGCCGCGUGAGUGAUGAAGGCUUUCGGGUCGUAAAACUCUGUUGUUAGGGAAGAACAAGUACAAGAGUAACUGCUUGUACCUUGACGGUACCUAACCAGAAAGCCACGGCUAACUACGUGCCAGCAGCCGCGGUAAUACGUAGGUGGCAAGCGUUAUCCGGAAUUAUUGGGCGUAAAGCGCGCGCAGGCGGUUUCUUAAGUCUGAUGUGAAAGCCCACGGCUCAACCGUGGAGGGUCAUUGGAAACUGGGGAACUUGAGUGCAGAAGAGAAAAGCGGAAUUCCACGUGUAGCGGUGAAAUGCGUAGAGAUGUGGAGGAACACCAGUGGCGAAGGCGGCUUUUUGGUCUGUNNCUGACNCUGAGGCGCGAAAGCGUGNGGAGCAAACAGGAUUAGAUACCCUGGUAGUCCACGCCGUAAACGAUGAGUGCUAAGUGUUAGAGGGUUUCCGCCCUUUAGUGCUGCAGCUAACGCAUUAAGCACUCCGCCUGGGGAGUACGGUCGCAAGACUGAAACUCAAAGGAAUUGACGGGGGCCCGCACAAGCGGUGGAGCAUGUGGUUUAAUUCGAAGCAACGCGAAGAACCUUACCAGGUCUUGACAUCCUCUGACAACUCUAGAGAUAGAGCGUUCCCCUUCGGGGGACAGAGUGACAGGUGGUGCAUGGUUGUCGUCAGCUCGUGUCGUGAGAUGUUGGGUUAAGUCCCGCAACGAGCGCAACCCUUGAUCUUAGUUGCCAGCAUUUAGUUGGGCACUCUAAGGUGACUGCCGGUGACAAACCGGAGGAAGGUGGGGAUGACGUCAAAUCAUCAUGCCCCUUAUGACCUGGGCUACACACGUGCUACAAUGGAUGGUACAAAGGGCUGCAAGACCGCGAGGUCAAGCCAAUCCCAUAAAACCAUUCUCAGUUCGGAUUGUAGGCUGCAACUCGCCUACAUGAAGCUGGAAUCGCUAGUAAUCGCGGAUCAGCAUGCCGCGGUGAAUACGUUCCCGGGCCUUGUACACACCGCCCGUCACACCACGAGAGUUUGUAACACCCGAAGUCGGUGGGGUAACCUUUAUGGAGCCAGCCGCCUAAG
rnacentral:rRNA from 2 species